ensembl:snoRNA SNORD63 Small nucleolar RNA SNORD63
GUUCAGCGAUGUAUUGUCAGUACAUCAUUCUGAAGAAAACAGUGGUGACUUCCUGGGACUGAGUAUA